rnacentral:rRNA from 1 species
CCUACGGGGUGCACCAGUGGGGAAUAUUGGACAAUGGGCGAAAGCCUGAUCCAGCAAUGCCGCGUGUGUGAAGAAGGUCUUCGGAUUGUAAAGCACUUUCGACGGGGACGAUGAUGACGGUACCCGUAGAAGAAGCCCCGGCUAACUUCGUGCCAGCAGCCGCGGUAGUACGAAGGGGGCUAGCGUUGCCCGGAAUGACUGGGCGUAAAGGGCGCGUAGGCGGUUUAUGCAGUCAGAUGUGAAAUCCCCGGGCUUAACCUGGGAACUGCAUUUGAGACGCAUAGACUAGAGGUCGAGAGAGGGUUGUGGAAUUCCCAGUGUAGAGGUGAAAUUCGUAGAUAUUGGGAAGAACACCAACGGCGAAAGCACUCUGCUGGGCCGACACUGACACUGAGAGACGAAAGCUAGGGGAGCGAUUGGGAUUAGAUACCCCGGUAGUC